ACUAUACUGUGAGUAGCACUUGUGGCCCUGGAGCUACUUGAUAUUGUGUAGCAUAUUCCAUCCCACUGUAUUGUAGAUUAAAGAUGUCUCCAGCUGUCAAGCUAAUGAAGGCUGGAGCAAUCUAUAUUCCAUAACCUUCCCAUAGUCAUUGUUGACUAUGAUUGAAAGAUAGACCAUGCAGAGUACAAAU
rnacentral:snoRNA from 1 species